CAACGCAAGCACAAAAGGCAGCCUUAUGUUUAAUUAUGUUUAAGGCUCUAGAUCAUGUCUGUGUUCAGGCAGAGGCUGGCUGUAGCCUGCGUGCUGACUUCUUUCAUUCCCUAUGGCAUCCUUGUCUGCAGCCCGGUAGCUUGCUGGGGAAUGAAUCAGUGGGGAGAAGAGCUGUAAUUGAUUACAGCAGACAACUUUUACCCAGUGCAAGACAGAAGAGCUCCUCUGACUCCUUUGGAGCUAUGCUGACUCAUAGCAGAAAGAGACCUCCCUCUCUAGUUUCUUCGGACUGUCUCCUGGACUCACUUGUUUUUCAUAUAGUGGUGGGUUUUGCUACAUGGACUGCAAGUCGAGAGCUGCUUUCAUCUGACAUCUCUACUUUGCACUCCUCCUGGAGGAGGCCACUGGCACAGGCCCCUCUCCUUGAAGAGGUUAAGAAAAUGGCUGUAUUGGCUUCGUUGCAGGAUGGAGCUGGUAGGAAAUUGAGUGGUGUGCAGUGCCAAACCCAUGAUGUGUGUGCUCUUUCCAUUGGGAACACUGAGUCAUAAAAGGAAAUAAAAGCUGUUACAUUUCUGCGUGAUGAAGAAAACGGGCUCUAGUCUAGCCUCAUAUGAAUUCAUACGAUUUCUGUCCAGUGAACACUUUCCCUAUUAUAGGUUAUGAAACCUGGCUCCCCUUGGUAGAAAUUCAAUUUAUUUCAGCCAAAAAGAAUCGGGCGUCACCUCGGAUGGGCCUUCUCCUUCCUCACCCCACAGUCAGGGCCAAAUGCUAGUCUUGUGACUUUCUAAAUACAACUUGUGCUCCUUAUUUGCUGUUAUUUUAAUUUAGCUGAGAAGAGCUUGGCAACAUCUCUGGCUGUGUUGCCAGCUGGUUGUGUUGUUGGCCAGUUUUCCAAGGUAUGUUUGGUAGAAAGUAGAGAAGGAAGUGCUUCUAGUAGCCAUGGUUCUCGAUUCUAAUUCCAGUUUCAGGUGCAGAGCAAGAGUGUAAGAUAUCACCAGGAGAAGCAGUAUCAAAUACUUUGAGGCAAGGAGUCUUAGGAGACCAUAUGAGCAUUCUCACUUCCUACUCACUUCCUACACCCCAGCAUACAGUGCAGUAGGUAAGUGCCAGGUUUUAUUGCCUGACCAGUUACAAAGAGGUGGUGAUCAGAUGCCAUUUUCUUCAUAUGUAGGCAAAGCUUAGGCAAAAAAAAAAAUGAUUUCUGACUAUUGUGGUUAUGAACUGGUGCAUAGUUGAGUUUGUUGUCCACAGACUGCUAUGGUAACUGAGACUUCUGCAGCUGCUUCUUUAUGUUGCCUCAGAUGUGAAUAAAUGCAUAAUGUAAACUGUGACAGAGCUCCAACUGUCUUUGGUAGAAGCAGCAUAAGUGUAAAGGGGAACAGACCAUCCAGCAAGAACAAAUGGGCGAUGUUUUGCUUUGUUAGUGCUCAGAUGUAGCUGAAGAAAUUGCUGCUGCUCAUACAUGCUAUAACAGUUGGUAAUUGUGUGUUUUCUCCUGUGUCUUAGCUGAAUCUUGUUAUGUUCUGUGUAAUCUGGGCACAGUUGCUCAGCUACUGUGGCUUUGCUGGUGAGAGGCUAAGUUCUUGGGGUAGGGUCACUUGGUUGUUCAGAGGCUGAAUAACAGGAUCUCCAGGGUGAGGCCAUUUUGAGGUGGCAAUGUGACCGACCUAUACAGCAGCCAGCUAGCUGGAAAGCUUGGAGCCCAGCUACUGUCGGAAGGCUUCAUGUUAAGAAGCAGCCAGCUGCAUGACUGAAGAUAAGCUCUGGAGCCUGGGUGGGAGUGCUGUGCUCUGGCCACUGGCUCACAGAUGGAUGUUACCUUUGUGCAGUUGCACUCUGCUUUUAUUAGCCAGGUGACAUGGACAUCGGGCAUGGCAAACUGCUUGCUUCCUUGUCUGAGCGAAUCCAAAGGGUUGGUGGCAGUCAGGUGCUUUCUUCUUAUUGUGCUGCAGGUUCACAUCACCAGUAAUGACUGCCAGCGUGCAGUCUGGGUCCAAGCAAUUCCAAGCAAUUCUUCCAAGCAAUGCGAUUCUUCCAAACAAUGUCUCCUGUGGUGUGUGCUUAGGGGAGCUCUGCUGUUCUGCUCUCCAGGGAUGUACGAGCAAGGUUAGACACUUGGUAACAAUUGGAUUUCUCUCCAAUGUCCUGCUGGGCAACUAAAUUCCCUUCUAGCUACCUUACAUUGUGUUAGUGAAACCUUUUGGUUUUUUUGAUUGGACUCAUUUUAAAUGGUUGAUUUUUUUUUUGUGUGCACUGCGAAUGCACCCUUGCUGUUCAGUUCAGCGUUCUGAAUAAAAUGCUGAAGCUAUCAGUGCAUGUGAAUUUCUGGAUGCAGGGUGGCUUCCUGCCCACAAUGGGAACAGAAUUUAGAGCCAGGAACUCUGAGUUAGUCCCUUUCUUGUUAGGGGAGUGCACUGUGGCCUCUGGCAUAGCAGUGCUGUUCCCUAACUCUGCUUCUCUGCCAGGCAACUGGAGGUAAUUAUGAUACCUACCAUUUGCAGGAACGUGGACGAUUACUUGAGAUGCAUGCAGCUUCUUUCAAAAUGUAAAACGACACAUCUGAGUAUUGUUUUGUUAUAUUUAUUGAGUAAUUUGGGGUUGUUGGAUGAAAGACCUUAUAUAAAUGGUACUUUAUUAUUAUUGCUAGAGAGGGACUAGUACAAAAGCAGUUUAUCUGGGAAUCCAUGAAACAAAGGUCUAGAGCAUACUGCCAACAUCUGCUACCACUUAGAACUUCAACCCACUUACAGUGUGAGCUACUCGAGCUUGGAGAUGCACAGCGAGGAGUUGUUUUGCGAUUGCUGAGUUGCAGCAGUCCUUUGGUCAGGCGCUUGUAUGUUAGAUAAAUUCUCUACACCCUGCCCUGAGGGAAAUACUUUGUCCUGGUAGGACCAUGACAGGGAUCUCGUGAUAUUUGUAUCACAAGUCUGCUGUAAGCAUUGCUGUUUCCCUCCUCACAGAGUUGAACAGAAACGUGCGCUGAUGUUUUUUGUUUGUGACCUCAAGUGUCCUCCCUAACAUGAGCAGGACUGUGCUGUAGAGCCCAGUGCAAAGUUUUCCAAGGCAGGUAAUGAAGCUUUCUGUUGGCUUGAAGCCCUAACAGCUUCAAACUGUUGGGUUUCAGCAAGUGGAAAAAUCCAUUAGUGUGUUGUUUGGCUCUGUGUGCUCCAGCUGCUUGGCUUCUGGAGUGGUGGGAAGGUAAGCAGAAGCUCACCCCUUGGCCUGAAGAGAAACGGUAACCUUGAACUACCCAUCUACUGUGAGGUGUCUGCCCAGUGCCUUCUGAAACCUUCUGUCCCUAAAGUUGGUUGCUGAUUACUGUGGCAGUCUCUUUGGGCCCAUUUCCUAGCAAUUUGGUCGAUCCUAUAAUGAGUUCACUGACAGGCUUGCUUGCUUCUAGCUCUUUCUGCAGUGUGGGAGCAGGUAGGGCAAAGGGCUUUAUUUUAAUGCUGCUAUUUCUGUACAUAUUGUUGGCCAAUAAACCAUCACCAGCUUGUGUGAGCGAAGCUGUUGGUCAUGAGGAGCAGACUGUAAAUGAGUGGUGGAAAGGUUUUGUAUGGUGACUGAACUAAAAUAUUUUACCCCAGAGAACCAUUCAGAUUCAUCUGCCGUAUCUUCCAGCAGCACUUGUAAAGGCCAAAAGAAGCUGGAAAAGAGGGAAUGCAAACAAACAUUGGAGUGUGACCCUGGUUGGAUAGUGACUUUGUUCUUUAUGUUGGGAAGCUCUCUGCUAUCAGCCUGCUUCAGGAUGGCUGGCAAAACAUCUCAUGUUCCCUGUACACACAAGCCCUUCACUGUAUUGAGCAUGGGACAAGAGAUCUUCAAAGAGGAGAAAUACAUCCUUUACUAUGAGAUAGGAAGCAACCUGGGAUGUCUUCCAAGGAUCCGUGCCUGAAACUGAAGCCAGCUGAUGACUGGAGGAGAGUUCCUAGUCUCUUGAAAUUCCCCUUCAAACCCCACCCCUCGGCUUGGGGGGUUGCUGGACUGUAACAGGCUGCUCAUCUGUCUGCAUGAGGGGACUCACUGCCUUGGGAUUAAAGCUGGGAAGUGCUUUUGGAAAAACAGAAGAUGUGCUGGAUGAGAAUAGUGUCUCUGGCCUGGCAGGUUCACACAGUUUUUUUUCCAUUAAGAGGAAAAUUGAUUAUAUUAUUUGGAGAGAGGUAUUCCUUUGAGGGGGAGAUCAUAAUUUACUUACAAAACAUGCACGCAAUGUCCUGUUGCUAUGAUCUCAAGAGAAACAAACAAGUUUCCUAUUCAGUGAGCAGUGCCCCAAAAGCUCUGUCUUCCUUCUUAUGCUGGCAUGCAUCCCACUUGAGGCUUUCUCCUUUCCUUAGGUACCCAAAAGACAAGUUGCCUUGCCUUUAUCUAGCUCUCUGAUUAUCUGUGGAUCUCAGAAUCAGACGUUACCACUUUCCAGAGCAAUUGUGCAUUUAUAAUAUCAUGUUAGGUUGAAGACAGCCCUGGAGUAAAGCAUUUGCGCUGACCUUCCUGUUACUUUUGACUCUUUGGACUAUGAAUAGAUCUUUUCACCAGCUGGUAGAUUCUUCACCCCUUGUGGACUUCAGAAUAAUAUCAAAAGGCAGUCAAGGUAGAGGAUAAUCGGAUUAAAAAUAGGUUUUGGUGAGAUAAUGUGAUGGUUCCCUGUGGCCUUAGUCUCUGAGCUUAUAACUGAAGGACAUGCAGUGCCUAGUGUCAAGGUUGUAGUGGGAAGUAGCUAAAUGUGGAGGACAAGAAGAAGGUAGCACUAAACUGCAAGAGACACUGUGCUAUAGCAGGGUGGGAUAAUCUGGCCCACGUGGGACCACAUGUGCUACCCCCAGUGUAUCAGAGCACCAUUAUUACACGAAUAGUGGUCAAUGAAAUAACUGCAUGAGCUGGACCAUGCUCAUUCAUCUCAGCUCUCUUCUGAGCGCUGAUAAUGGUGAGAAAUUCUGGGCCGACCACACCUCCCCGGGGAUUUCUCGGCUGCUUGUGUAAUCCCUGAUUUGCUGGACCGGAUGAUCUCCACCAGUGUGGGGCCUCCCCUUCCAAGGGUAGCUGCUGUUUGCUCUAGGAUUUCCCGGCAUGUUCAGGCAGCAGUGAGUCUGUUGCUUUCCUGGAAGGCUCAGACCUCUUGUGGAUGCACGAAGUGGUUGAGUGGCACACCAGCAGCCCUCUGAGAGAGCUGAAUUUCACUGUCAAUAGUCACUGCACAGGUCUGUCGGAUGCUUCCUGAAAUUUGGCUAAUGGAGAAGAUCUUAAAUGCCUUCUGGAUUCAGUCUCUGGGCAGGAUGGAAGCACAAAUCCAAAUAUACUCAGUGGGAUUUAAAGAGAUAUAGGUUACCACUAAUUUAUAUCUUGUGGUGUAACCUGGCCCUGCCUGAGUUUCAAUAGGAAAAAUUUUGCUUUGCAAUCCGAGUUAUAUUCAUAUCUAUUUCUGUCAAACCAAGUGGGAAAACCCUUGGGUCCAACUCAACGGGUUGAGAGAGAAAUGACUCAGUCACCAAGCUUGGAGUCCCAGAUGAGUCUGUUGCCUUGCCCCACUGAAUGCGGUAUUUGACAAAAAGAUUGAUUUCUGCUGACUUACUGGGAAUUUUUGUUCCAUGUUGCAAAAUCAUGUCUUGAUGGCUUCUGUUCUCCACUGUGCCCUGUCCUAUGAGCUAGACCUUCAGUGCUCUCAAAGCAUGAUGAGGAAUGGACGGUUUCUAACCUGGUUAUGUGGCCUCUGUCUCUUCAUCACCAGGUUUCAUGGGAUAUCUUUGCAAGCAUCUUGUCUCUUAUGUAUACCCCACAAUGAAGGGGUCAAGACUUUUAUAAAUCCUUAGCAGCUGUGAUAUGUAAGAUGUUUUUUUCAAAAGCACUUACCCUAUGAUGAACACCACUUCUCCUGAAACCAGUGGUGAAUUAUCUUGAUUUCUGUGGGUUAGGGUUAGAGCAACAAUAGGAUUUUCAUAAAAUCCCACAGGUUCAGCCAAGAUUUCAGCAUUUACCAUCCUGAAUUCUCUUUAAAGACAAAGAAAAUCUCAAGAGACCUUAAAUGAAGCAUUUCCUCCAUUCAUUUCAGCCCACAACAUGGGAGGAGAGUGCACUCAUGAACUUGCUUUAAUAUUCAGCCUAAGAUUAUCAUGUAAAAGAGAGAACCUGAACAAAAGUUGAUGAACUUCCAGAAAUGUGAACAUGUCAUCUUAAGUUAAAUGAAACUUAUCCAUGAAGUAUCAGGGCUUCUUGUGACUAGUCUCUACCCUAAACUAGUGAUAGUGACAUUAGUCUUAGGGGAAACAGAUUUCUGCUAAAAAUUACCACCAGUAACAAUCCUAACCCCCAAAUCCAUGUUAUUAGGCUACACAGUUAAAACCUCACUAAAAUGAAGUGGCUAGGUUAUAUUUCUCAUGUUUUUUAUUAUUCAUGAUUUUUUAUUUCUCUCUCAUCGGGAGAUCAGGGUUUUCAAGUUGUGUGUGUGUUCUGUAUGUGACACUAUAUGAGACUCACUCUCAUAUUCCCUGAAUGGACAGAUAAUUGGCUUGGGGAAUGACAGCCACUGGGUAUGAUGCUAUCUCACCUCCUUUGCUGCUUGCUAGCCCAGAGGACCAUUAGGUACAUUUGACUGGGCUCAGCUCUUGGAGAAAGACAAUUUCCAUUUCACUGCUCCUUGGGCCUGACCCUUGAAUCCCAACUGGAAAGAGUUUGUCCCUCAAAAAGAAAUAUUAUAGCUUUUUCCUGCAGCUGAUUAAAACAGUUCAGUGUCCUCAACAUCACCUGUCUUGGCAAAACACUGCAGCUUGAUUGAAGCCUCCACUGAAGCCAGCUUUUAAGCUCUCCAUCUCCUGGAAGUACCACUGUAAGGACUGCAGCUGUCAGAGCAGGCAGACUAGAGCUGCAGCUCCAUGUCUGUGCGUAGCAUGUUUUCCUAGCUCUGUACGUCUGUGUGGUAAAAAGUGAUGUUUAAUAUCUAUGGGAAAUACUAAGGAUUUCUUUGUCAUCUGCUUUGGAGCCUCCUUCAGCUGCAACUGAGGAGACAGGAAGAAUUUGGCUGCUGUUCUCUGCUCCUGCACCACCCAGCCCAUACUGACAGCUACAGCAACUCAGUGACUACUGUAUUUUUCGUGGCCCUUCUGGCAGGAAGAGAUGAGAGGGAAUGCAGCUACUUCAAUACCCCCUUGUUCCAGGCAUGUCUGUCUUUCCCCAACAGCCCCCUUGGUGGUGCAUAGCUGUUGCAGAAGCUGGCUUCGUAUGAAAGAGGGAAAGUAAAACCUAUUUAUAGACAGCCGGAGCGGCACAUUAUUUAAGGGUCACAGUUGAAAUUAACCAUGAGGUAUUUAACACUGAAGUGGACAGAGCAAGUACUUGAAAACUGUUGGACUGAAUGUCUCUUUCCAAAGAGAAACACGCACGACUUGCUUGGUGUAAGGUCACGCUCAUCACCAAGGUCCUUGGUUCCUUCAUACAGCUGGGAUGAUGAAACCAAGGCCAAGGCUGCAGGCAUCCCGCUGCGAUGUAACAGAGGGGAGAUACCACGGGCAGGAAAACCUCGUCUUGGAGAAAGGAGCUGGCUUUACAGAGGCAGGUGGCCCUAGGAAUUCAGGGGGCUGCUGGAAGCUGGCAGAGGCUGCUCCACAGAGGAGAGGAGAUGGAGGGGGGAUUGAGGAAUGGAGAGAGGAAUUAUUUUCCAAAGUUUGUGUGGAGACGAAGCUGUGAGUGCUGCUCCCUGGACUCCCACACCAUAGCACCAGGACCCCCAGCAGUUUCAGAUUGGUGCCAGCAAUAUUCACAUCUCCCAUAGCUGAUAAGGACAGCUGCAUGCAGGGGAAGCCAUCUGUACCGAACAGCAAUGACCUGUCCCAUUUCCCUGUAAUACACCACGUUGGGGGACUCGUUUGCUGCUGCUGUUACAGAGGCUUUGCCCAGACCUUCAUUUCUCCAGAAGUUUCUUUCUCCCAAAAGUUCCUUGACAGUGCCUGACCACCCGAUGUCUCAGCUUGCUUGAGGAGUUGGACAAAGCUCAUCUCUUUUAGGACAUAUCAGGAGGGACACAGGCCAUGACUAAACUUUUCUGGUUCUGGUGCCAGCACAAUCAUGUGAGAGGUUCAGAGGCUGAAGAAAAUGCUUCGGAAUCGCAUCUGAAAAAGGAGAUUUUGCAGCUUUUUGUACAUCGGGUUGCAGAUGAAGAGGAGGCAGAAGUCAGACAACGGCGAUUCCUCCUCAGCAAGGCACAAACAACAUCAAGCAUUUUCCAGCCUGGUGCAUCUCUGGUAGCAGCCAGAAGGGCUUGGCUCCAGUGGAGCUCAGAGCUGCAGGAAGCUCCCCAGCUUUGAGGAAAAAAAAAAAAAAAAGAAAAAAGGGCAAAUGGGGCUGGUCCUCUGGCCUUGCAACGGGCAGGAUGUUCCUGUGCAUGGGUCCGUGAUGGCAGCCCCCACCUCACCUGUCCCAGGCUUGUGAGACUGGAAGUAUUUGGCCAAAAUGAAAAACCGUGCAAAGAGACAUCAGGACCUUUGAGACAAAAUGGAAAUGUGCCGCUUGUUUUUGGAGCAGAGGCCGAACACAGGGGACAUCCCAAUGCAAAAGGGUGCAAAAUACUCCAGGAAAAGCCCCCCCCAUGUCAUCCCAAGGUGCUGGGGGUGCUUUGGUGCAAAUAUAAUGACUGAUGGAGCCUUAUUUGUGCUCCGUGCUCUCCGGAGCCUCCCCUUGGCACUCAACAGGAGCUGCUGCAGAACGCAGCUCGGGCACCGUGGCCUCGAUUCCCCAGCUCCUCCAAGCCCACCGAGGGCUGCUGUCGGCAUUCCCAGGGCUUCCCAGCUGGGAAAUAGCAGCCAUCUCCGCGGAGAGCCUGAUGUCACAAGAUUUUUCAGCCUGAUUUCCAGAGCAGCGGUCUGGAUGCACUUCAAACCUCUGACUGCUUUUUCCAACCAGCGUUGUUGCUUGGGAUUUUUGGGGGAUUUUUUUUUUUUUUUUUCCGGGCUCUCCCUUCUCCAGGUCUCAGCCUGUGAGCGUAGCUGCUGAUUGAGCAAUCGGCGUCUGUUCCUUAGACACGUCGCCAUGGAAAUUCCUGAGAUUGCUGGUGGGGACCGACACAAAAUUAGCCUGGGCUGGGGAGGAGGAAGAGGAGGAGGAGGUUGAGGAGGAGUAGGAGGCAGCCGCUUGGGAGAUGGGUUUGCUGCAGGAGCAAAUCCUUUCUGCUCGUCCUCUCCAGGAGCAGCCACUUCCAGGCGCUGGCUGUCAAGAAGAUUUGCAAGGGGCUGUUCUUCUCCCCUCUCCUUUUUACGUGACCACCGGCACCAGCCGGCCCCGCAGAGGAACACAGCUUGCGCGGGGCUGACCAGGACACAGCGCGCUCUUUUGCAAUCAGCUUGGCUCUGGAUUGCAAGCAAAAAUGCCUUUUUUUUUUUUUUCCCCCCCAAAAAAAAUUAAAAAAGGAGCUGUUCCAGUGGCUGCCUGUCACAAUGGGAAGAGGGGUGGGAAUGAGGUGCCGUUCUCAGUGUGCUUCUUCCUAACCCAAUGAUGCUGAAAUUCUUCCCUCCCGCUUUCAGGAUGAAGCCAUGCCAGGCACUCGGGGGCUCAUUUCGCUCUCCCCAGCAGCAGAUGCUUUUGUGCUUGGCGGCUGAACCCAAAAAUCCACCUUGGCCUGCUGGGAAGUGGGAAGAAAGAGGCUGUUUGGUGAGGACGCCCUGACUUGUCCUGCUUCAGGGAGCAUCCUCCCUUGGGAAACGCUCGCUGGGAGAAUUAGCACGGGUUUCAUUUUUUUCCUCUACCAUGAGUUGCACUUCGUCGAUGUUACACCACUGCGGAGCGAGAUGUAGCUCCUCUAUGGUCCACUGAAGGGUUUUUUUGAGUUAAUACCUGCAUUUUUCGGUUCCCCUUUGGGCUAUAUGCUGCUUUUAGGCCCAUAUGGAUGCCUACAACCUGCUCUGCAUCUGGGUUUUCAGGUGGAAAGAAGGGGUGCUCCUAAGGGAGCACCCUGACGGCCACAAAAAAAACACGGAAAGCAAUAAAAGCAUAUGGGGAGCUGGGUCUGCACAUCCUCAGGGGCUUUUCCAAGCUCGUUUUUCACUUCCAGCAGUUUUGGAAGUAAGAAAAUAAGGCAGCGAGCAUGGCACCGCCACGGGUUAGUGGGGAACAUCAGGCUCACUGCAGUGAACCUGAUCAGUUCUCCCUGUCUGCAGAAUUAAUCACUGCUGGAAAGCUGGACAAAUAUUUUCAAAAUAACAAAAAGCUGCCUUCCUGCCUAACAACCUUUUUCAGGCCUUUCAGAUUUCUACAUCCACUUCAGUUCAUUGACCAUGCUCAAAAUCUUCAGGUUCUGUACAUCGGCUAUGUAAUAUACAUUAAUUACAUACAAAUUAAAUGAUUCCUGCCUUGUUUUCAAGCGUGAUAACGCCUUUGGCCUUUGCCUUUCUACAGUGGAGCCCUUCACAUCUUGGACAAGGACCCCAGCAGCACACUGGGGUGAUUUCACCUCACAAGCCUUUGGGAUAGAAAGGGGAUUUUGGGGUUUUCCUGCAUUUUUCCCUGCUGGAGAAGGGAGUUGCAGCUCACCCAAGGGUGCGGGUGGCCUCUGGGAGCCAGGCGUGAGCUCUGGCAUCUUCCACCUGCUGAAGCAGGUUUGGAGGUUGUUUUUUUGGGCAGGUUUGAGAGCUGGGUGCUAUUCCCAGGUACUUCCCUGACCAAGAACUGAGCUAGGAGGGUGCACACCUCUGGCACAGACCACUUGAGUUGGUGUGGUCCCCCUUUGGCUCACCCAUCCCAAAAGCUUUUCAGCACGGGUGUCCCAAAAUCUCCCCUUCCCUGGGAUGGUGAAACACCCAAGCCUUGUUUAAAAACAUAGGUGGCAUCCCCAAAGCUUCAGUCCCUCCAUCUGCCCUUCCAGCCCCUCUUUCCAGGAGGCCAAAGGGGUGACCAUGUGUGAGGCUUCAGACCCAAAUCCUCAGGGUUACAUCUCUGUGACAGCGGGAUUUUGCAGAGCAAGGCGGUGAGGUCACGGCAGCCGGCCGUGCUUUUAUUUCAGCGGGGUCUCUAUAGCAGCCAGCGACAAAACAAAACAUAUAUUCCUCCAAAGCAGAGUUUCCUGGCUGGUGGCGCUCAUUUUUCUUUAUGAGCUGACUUUGGAAGAGAGCGGAGUGGCAGCUCAUGGAAACUGGGAUGUCUUUCUCUCCCCUGUCUGCUCCUCCGUCCCGGCAGAUAAAGGUUAGACAUCUGUUUCGGAUCUGCUUUAACCGAAGGACAGACCCGCUCCUGCCAUCCCAUAAAUCAUCCAGAGUGCAGGCCUUGCUAAUUGCUGGGGCUCUUUGUCCCAAGAUGUCCAGCGUAGCCGUGGGCAGGCAGGCAGUGCCCAGCCUGCUGCCUCCUGCCUUUCCCUAGCAGUCCCUGAAUGCUCUGAAGCUGGACAUCACCCACACGGGUGAGGGACUGGGGACUCCCACGUGCCCAAAUCUCACUUGGGUACAGCCCCAAUUUUCAGGAGCACCCUGGGUGAAAAGACACACCUUUCCCUAAAACCUUGACCUCAGAAUUAUGCUUACAGCAUAAGGCAUUGCUUCAAGCGUGGCAUUCCUGGAAAACCCACGGAGAUAUGUAUCUGUACAUUUAGGUUAUUUUAGAUUGGCUUCUUGUACCGAUGCAAUAAACUUAAUACCGGCUAAUAAAACAUUUCAGAGCCACUUUGCCUCCCCUUGUAAAGGUUUCCCAAGAUGGAGAUAAUUAAAUGCAAAACUACGGCAUUAAGAAAACCCAACCAAGCACUCGAAAGCUGGUGCUUUCCCACAUUUAAGGGUCUGGCU